AGGUUUUAGAACUAAAAUGUUGGGGUCUGAAACUACACAUUUACCCUAUGAUUUAUCAAGUUUUAGAACUAAAUGUCGAGAACUAAAAUGUCGGGGUCAGGGGCUGAAUUGAUGAUGAGCGCUGCUGAAGCAACCUGGGGGAUGCUCAUACUUGCCACCAUCAUCAUCAUCGUUGUUUGUUUCUUCUGCCUUCUGCCUGUAUAUAAAGCCCUGCAGGCUCGCUAUACACACUGGGAGGACCCAGAGAACGAUCCAAGAUGGAAUGUAAGU